rnacentral:rRNA from 1 species
UGUGAACUCGAAGAGUAGGGCGGGACACGUGGUAUCCUGUCUGAAUAUGGGGGGACCAUCCUCCAAGGCUAAAUACUCCUGACUGACCGAUAGUGAACCAGUACCGUGAGGGAAAGGCGAAAAGAACCCCGGCGAGGGGAGUGAAAAAGAACCUGAAACCGUGUACGUACAAGCAGUAGGAGCCCACUUGUUGGGUGACUGCGUACCUUUUGUAUAAUGGGUCAGCGACUUAUAUUCUGUAGCAAGGUUAACCGUAUAGGGGAGCCGCAGGGAAACCGAGUCUUAACUGGGCGUUAAGUUGCAGGGUAUAGACCCGAAACCCGGUGAUCUAGCCAUGGGCAGGUUGAAGGUUGGGUAACACUAACUGGAGGACCGAACCGACUAAUGUUGAAAAAUUAGCGGAUGACUUGUGGCUGGGGGUGAAAGGCCAAUCAAACCGGGAGAUAGCUGGUUCUCCCCGAAAGCUAUUUAGGUAGCGCCUCGUGAACUCAUCUUCGGGGGUAGAGCACUGUUUCGGCUAGGGGGUCAUCCCGACUUACCAACCCGAUGCAAACUACGAAUACCGAAGAAUGUUAUCACGGGAGACACACGGCGGGUGCUAACGUCCGUCGUGAAGAGGGAAACAACCCAGACCGCCAGCUAAGGUCCCAAAGUCAUGGUUAAGUGGGAAACGAUGUGGGAAGGCCCAGACAGCCAGGAUGUUGGCUUAGAAGCAGCCAUCAUUUAAAGAAAGCGUAAUAGCUCACUGGUCGAGUCGGCCUGCGCGGAAGAUGUAACGGGGCUAAACCAUGCACCGAAGCUGCGGCAGCGACACUAUGUGUUGUUGGGUAGGGGAGCGUUCUGUAAGCCGUUGAAGGUGGCCUGUGAGGGUUGCUGGAGGUAUCAGAAGUGCGAAUGCUGACAUAAGUAACGAUAAUGCGGGUGAAAAACCCGCACGCCGGAAGACCAAGGGUUCCUGUCCAACGUUAAUCGGGGCAGGGUGAGUCGACCCCUAAGGCGAGGCCGAAAGGCGUAGUCGAUGGGAAACAGGUUAAUAUUCCUGUACUUGGUGUUACUGCGAAGGGGGGACGGAGAAGGCUAUGUUGGCCGGGCGACGGUUGUCCCGGUUUAAGCAUGUAGGCGGAUGUUCCAGGUAAAUCCGGAACGUUAUUAACGCUGAGGUGUGAUGACGAGGCACUACGGUGCUGAAGUGACAAAUGCCCUGCUUCCAGGAAAAGCCUCUAAGCAUCAGGUAACAUC